rnacentral:rRNA from 1 species
UGUGGAGGAUUCGCUGCGGGCGGGGUAUGAGGCUGACCGGUUCGCGGUGGCGGUGGCAGGACGAGUGGCCGCUCCGGGAGGAGGGGGUGACGGCGGUACCGGCAAGCUGCGGUAGUGGCGUCCGGUAAGCUACGGUGGUGGCGUACGGCAAGUAGCGUCGUCGUCGGACCUAGGCGGGCCGAGGGAAAGGGUCGCGCGGCGGCGGCUGGCCGAGGGAGGGGAUCUCGCAGCAACGCCGGGGUCGUGGUGAAGGAACGGCACCGUAUCGUAGCAGCUGACGCGGGAAGGGGAAGAAGGGGAUCACGGAGCACCACCUUAGGUUCCCUCCCGGUCCGGCAAGUGUCGGCGGUGGGGGGAGUCAGGUAAGUUGUGGCGGUUGGUUCCGGCGCGAGGGGACAGGGGGUCGAGCCCGGCGGCCAGGGGACGUCAGGGGUUGUGGUGGCAGAGCUACACGGCAGUACGACAAAAUGUACCCUCCAUAACCGGAGGAAGUAGGCGGCCUAAGCUGGUAGGGGAAAACAAGUGGAGGCGGUGGACUCCGGCAAGUGGUGACGGUGGUCAAGGGCAAGUUGUGGCGGGCGCGUUAGAGUGCACAGUUGCUGUGGGGACAGAUGGGGUGCGCUUCGAAGUUGUCUCCGAGCCAAGUCUUGAAAUUUAUGGAGAUGAGAAAACAAACACAUGUAUAGAUUCUCCCUUGACUUUUUUACCUUAAGUUGUAGUGAUCAAAUGAAUCCCCUGCUUAAGACUAAAAGAUCGUCAAGAUCAUUUAUACAAUCUUCUUAAGGCUCAACAUAACAAGAUCAGACGACAGUUCCGUUCGACGAUACUACACAACAGUGGUAAAUAUUAGACAAUUACUGGCCAUACAAGAACAGCAGUCAAGUACACACAGGAACAACAGUCCAACACAAGUACAAAAUAUUAGUCAAGUACAUGUACACACAAACAUUAGUGCCACACAAGAUUAUUGAAGAAAGUCUUUGGUGAAACAUCGAGAUAAGUCGAUACCUAAGAGGCAAGGGUCUUUCAAUUUGUAGUCAAGAAGAUUAAACAUUUCUUUUACAUCAAAAAGUCUAAUUGUAUUCUUGUGCCGAAGAAACUACAUCACGGUAAGUUUAAGAAUAAAAUCAAAACAAGUAAAAGAAUAAAUUCAAGUCAAAUUUUAGAUUAGAAUCAAGUCAAGUUCUGUCUAAUAGUAGAUAGGUUAUGUCUUCCUUUUAUCUCAACCCUCACCUGCUGGAACUCGAACAGGUCGGUGGAAGUAACACGAAGAGGUCACGCAAGUACACAGUAUAACGCUCGUAAGGACACGGCGCACGUACGAAACCUGAUACACAACAGAUAACAAUACAUCAUAGAGGUCUAAAAGAUUUGAUUGAACGAGUUACUGUCUUAACACAUAACGUGUCAUGUACAUAAUGAUGAUCCUUACAAGUCUUUAGUCUUGAGUUUCUUCAUAACUGUCGUGUUGAUGACAUAUAAGUUCCUCAGCCCAAAACGAGGACGUAGUGGAGCAGAGGAGGCAAGCUGUUUUCGUAGUCUAUUCAAGUGUGAUACCAAAACGAGAAAGCAUAUUAAGUACUCAGGUAUGAGGAAGCCAAAAACAAGGUAUCUUUAAUUUCUUUGGACAUCUUCAAACCCCAUAUUUUAAGAUAUUCAAGUUUUGGCCCUUUGAUCAUUCAAGUCUGUUUUAAUUUUGACAGUUUCUUGUACUCUCAAAAACAGUUUUUUGGCUCCGAAGGGGUGCGGUCGUGUUUGAAAAAUUUACCCACCUAAAACAGUUUCGUUUUUGACUUACCCACCGUUCUACUUACAUCAACAAUAAUUUUCAAAGAAAAAGUUGAAGAGGAGAAUUAUAUGUACUUGAACUAAUAUAAAAAUUGGCCAAUUUAUAUGUUCCAACCGUUCUACUGAUAUCAACAAUAUCGUUUUUUCAUGGCAAAAGAAUUUUUUCAAAGACAAACUUGAAGAGGUUAAUUAUAUGUACUUGAGUUAAUAGAAAAAUUGUACAUAAGUGUACUCGAGCAAACCUAAAAACACAUAUGAACAUUGUGUUAGUCAAGUCUAGAGCUCUCUGGCAUUCAAAUCAGCCGGAACCGUAGUGCUUGCCCAAGUCAAGCUAGAGCGUAUCACCCGUCCAAGGACUACCACACAGACAGUCAAGAUGAGCGUGCUCACCUGCAGUCUAGCACGUUCACCCUUCCAGGGGCUACAUAUAAGUCAAGUUGUAGACCACGAAGAAGUCAAGUAGCAUCACACGUAAAAGUGAAGUAGAACGUCCAUACUAGUAAGAGACGGGAACGAUUACAUAAAACAUCAUUGAAACAUUUGUUUUCUCUAUCGUGUGACCUUGUUUUGUCAUCACUUCUUUCUAUGGGAUACAAUUAAAACCACUGAGAUAACAAGCAAGGUAGUGAACAUCUACAUACGGACUGGUAAAAAAGAGUUUAAACCGUAAACAAUUCAACACUCCGAUGGGUAAGCCCACGAAUGAACUUCCCCAUCGGUGCCACGACUAUGAUUUUUUUACCUACUCAUUAGUGUUUCUGGUAGUACCUACUGCUGUUCGGAUGUCGACGAUACCAAAAUCAGUUCACAAAGUCUUUACGCGUCAUGAUGAAACAUAGACAGUGAGAAACAGUCCCCUUCCACUGAUUUCGAGGUAUAACGUUAAAGUGAUUCUAUAGGCCUAAAGUAAAUCACAAAUUUUAAUUAAUGAAAGAACAGGUCAGUAUGAUCAUGACUACUUUAUAGUUCAACUGUAACACGAGCCGGUAUCCAGGCGUAAAAAAGAGAGGGAAGCCAAGUUCCUCUUCGUUGUCGACCGGACGUCACGGCGGUAGACUUCUGUCCCCUCUACAGGCAUUAGGGGAAUACCAUUAAUACGUCCACGCCUUGGAGGGUUCGCGUGCUGUUGGAGUAGGCAGGUUCAACUCGUGACCCGCGACAGGCUCAUCUCGUUACGCGGGGCAGGUUCAAGGGUAGAUUACAACUUGCAAGUUAAAACAGUACAACUUAUGAUAUGGCGACUCACGAUAACUGUCAGUCAAUAAAGAAGGAAGGUACGACGUGAACCUCUCGAAUUAGAGGGUAACCGUUUAAAUUAGACAUGGUCAUUCAUGUACUAAUUAUAAAAUCCUAUACACACCAAGGUCAUUCAUGUACUCAUGAUAAAUCGUACAAACCAACGAAGACUUUGACUUUUACAGUCCCACAUGACUACGUAAAGUUUUAACAACACACAAAAGUCCCUUUUGGUAAACAGCCCAAAAACCACCGGUUCACAAUAACUAUACCUCUACUUAUUGAUACGCCUACGUGAGGACGACAAAAACGUAGAGGAAGCGCUGCUGGAUAAAACACGGGUACUUGUUUAUCGUUUCGGGAGGACAUCGGACUCGAUAAGUAGCGGAACAGAGUUACCUAGUCUCAAGUACCUUUUUUACAAACCGUAGGACAUCAUCAAUAUCAGGAAUUCAAUGUUGUCAAACUAGUACUUUUUUUGUAGUCAUGUUUUUCAUACCUCGAAGAUUACAACAUCACUAAAGCACACUGGUGUUCCUAGGAAGGACCUUCCAUCAACCACCCAACACACGUACGAGAUGUAUGUAGGUACGAUCGGAUAGGACGACACACGCACGCAGGAAGUACACACAAGUACAAGCACGGCUACAUCACACUUACGUCCCGCUCGACCUGUUACACAGCACACACACACACACACCACACACGAACGGUACUCUCACGACGAUUAAAGAUCACAACGACAAACAAAAGAGAUGUUCCUUUUUAAUCGACGACGACAAGACUUCAAAGUCCUUAACUUCUUAAGAAAACCGUUAACUACUUUUCGAUACUAAAACACGAGGACAAAAAAUAAUACAGUUACUCUUUGGUUAUGAAGAAAAGAAAUCCAAAGCACAAAAUCAACCAC